rnacentral:rRNA from 1 species
UACGUAGGGUGCGAGCGUUAAUCGGAAUUACUGGGCGUAAAGCGUGCGCAGGCGGCUUUGCAAGACAGAUGUGAAAUCCCCGGGCUCAACCUGGGAAUUGCAUUUGAAACUGGGAAACUAGAGUGUGUGAGAGGGGGGUAGAAUUCCGCGUGUAGCAGUGAAAUGCGUAGAUAUGCGGAGGAACACCGAUGGCGAAGGCAAUCCCCUGGGCCUGCACUGACGCUCAUGCACGAAAGCGUGGGGAGCAAACAGG